CUAUGCAAAAAUGUAGGCACAUUUUUACUUGCAGUUCCAGCGUAGUCUUGAAAGCAUUUAACUUUUGUCACCUUUCAUUAUGAGAAUACACCGACUUUCGUUGACUGCAUUAACUUUUGUGAUCAAAGGUCAUUAAGCUUUGACUGCAAAUUUCUGCAGUUCCUCUUCACCAACUUCCUCCUGCAUUGUGGGAGGCUCUAUUGUCAACCAAUCAUUUGACCUGAGCCCUAGGACCAUACGUCGGGACUACCGGCCGUGGUGACUCCUUGCUGCCCCCAGUCCGCCUGGCCUUGCUGCUAUUCCAGUUUCAACUCUUCUGCCUGCGGUUAUGGAACCCCUACCUGUCCCAGACCUGCUGUUUUCAACUCUUAAUGAUCGGCUAUGAAAAGCCAACUGAGAUUUAUUCCUGAUUAUUAUUUGACCAUGCUUGUCAUUUAUGAACAUUUUGAAAAUCUUGGCUCUCUCUAAUUUUCUCCUUCUCUCUUUCUUUCUCUCGGAGGACCUGGGCCCUAGGACCAUGCGUCGGGACUGCCGCCCGUGGUGACUCCUUGCUGUCCCCAGUCCGCCUGGCCUUGCUGCUAUUCCAGUUUCAGCUGUUCUGCCUGCGGUUAUGGAACCGCCACCUGUCCCAGACCUGUUGUUUUUCAACUCUUAAUGAUCAGCUAUGAAAAGCCAACUGAAAAUUAUUCAUGAUUAUUAUUUGACCAUGCUUGUCACUUAUGAACAUUUUUGAACAUCUUGGCAUAGUUCUGUUAUAAUCUCCACCCGGCACAGCCAGAAGAGGACUGGCCACCCCUCAUAGCCUGGUUCCUCUCUAGGUUUCUUCCUAGGUUUUGGCCUUUCUAGGGAGUUUUUCCUAGCCACCGUGCUUCUACACCUGCAUUCUAGCUGUUUGGGGUUUUAGGCUGGGUUUCUGUACAGCACUUCGAGAUAUUAUCUGAUGUACGAAGGGCUAUAUAAAAUAAAAUUGAUUGAUUGAUUGAACUGGAAACACUUAUCUCCCUCACUAGCUUUAAGCACCAGCUGUCAGAGCAGCUCAUAGAUUGCUGCACCUGUACAUAGCCCAUCUAUAAUUUAGCCCAAACAACUACCUCUUUACCUACUGUAUUUAUUUAUUUAUUUUGCUCCUUUGCACCCCAUUAUUUCUAUCUCUACUUUUUUCUAUCUCUACUAUCUCUACUUUUUUUUCUUUUUUUUACUUGCUAUAUUGUAUUUACUUCGCCACCAUGGCCUUUUUAUAUUUUUAUUUAUUUAUAUAUAUAUUUUGUUUGCCUUCACCUCCCUUAUCUCACCUCACUUGUUCAUAUUGUAUAUAGACUUAUUUUUCACUGUAUUAUUGACUGUAUGUUUGUUUUACUCCAUGUGUAACUAUGUGUUGUUGUAUGUGUCGAACUGCUUUGCUUUAUCUUGGCCAGGUCGCAAUUGUAAAUGAGAACGUGUUCUCAAUUUGCCUACCUGGUUAAAUAAAGGUGAAAUAAAUAAAUAAAAAAUUUGAUAGCAUGUUUCAAUCUAUGCAAAUAAAUUAUAUUAAUUGAUA